CCUACGGGAGGCAGCAGUGGGGGAAUCUUGCGCAAUGGGCGAAAGCCUGACGCAGCCAUGCCGCGUGAAUGAUGAAGGUCUUAGGAUUGUAAAAUUCUUUUCACCGGGGGACGGAUAAUGACGGUACCCGGAGAAGAAGCCCCGGCUAACUUCGUGCCAGCAGCCGCGGUAAUACGAAGGGGGGCUAGCGUUGCUCGGAAUUACUGGGCGUAAAGGGAGCGUAGGCGGAUAGUUUAGUCAGAGGUGAAAGCCCAGGGCUCAACCUUGGAAUUGCCUUUGAUACUGGCUAUCUUGAGUAUGGGAGAGGUUAGCGGAACUCCGAGUGUAGAGGUGAAAUUCGUAGAUAUUCGGAAGAACACCAGUGGCGAAGGCGGCUAACUGGCCCAUUACCUGACGCUGAGGCUCGAAAGCGUGGGGAGCGAAACAGGAUUAGAUACCCUGGUAGUCCACGCCGUAAACGAUAGAGUGCUAGUUGUCGGCAUGCAUGCAUGUCGGUGCGCGAGCUACGACAUAGUACACGUCCGCCGUCGGGAGGUACGGUCGACGAACGAAUUAAACUUAAAGUUAGUAAGUUAGACGGUCGUGAGACGUCGCCGACGGACGACGACGAGGGAGGAGG
rnacentral:rRNA from 1 species